rnacentral:rRNA from 1 species
GUAGGUGGCAAGCGUUGUCCGGAAUUAUGGGCGUAAAGCGCGCGCAGGUGGGUUCUUUAAGUCUGAUGUGAAAGCCCCCGGGCUCAACCGGGGAGGGUCAUUGGAAACUGGGGAACUUGAGUGCAGGAGAGGAAAGUGGAAUUCCACGUGUAGCGGUGAAAUGCGUAGAUAUGUGGAGGAACACCAGUGGCGAAGGCGACUUUCUGGCCUGUAACUGACACUGAGGCGCGAAAGCGUGGGGAGCAAACAGGAUUAGAUACCCUGGUAGUCCACGCCGUAAACGAUGAGUGCUAGGUGUUGGGGGGUUUCCGCCCCUCAGUGCUGCAGCUAACGCAUUAAGCACUCCGCCUGGGGAGUACGGCCGCAAGACUG